rnacentral:sRNA from 1 species
UCGAUGAUUCUCAAAAGACUGUUGCC